GGGUUGCGGGUUGCAAAAGAAGUAGGUAGCUUAACCUUCGGGAGGGCGCUUACCACUUUGUGAUUCAUGACUGGGGUGAAGUCGUAACAAGGUAACCGUAGGGGAACCUGCGGUUGGAUCACCUCCUUA
rnacentral:rRNA from 1 species